CAUAAUACCCGCAUCGUCGGUGCUCGUAGGACGCUUCGCUGUUUGAAGGCGAUGCAUCCGAGAGCCGAAGAGGGAACACGGAAAAACCGUGGCUGCCCCCGCAACUGUAAGCAGCGAGUCCGCGCACUUCGACCACAGCGUCUGUUGUCGUCGAUCUGGCCACUGGGCAACCGGGAAGGCCGUGCCGGAUGAGGACCUGCCAGCCAGGAGACCUGCCGACGAAACCAGUCGCGC
rnacentral:ncRNA from 2 species